GUGCAUCAUGAUGAAGUCAUGCCAUUCAUGCGCGUACAUAUCUGACCGGUUAAGCCGUUUAUUUAACCCGGCGAUAAUGCCUCUUUCCUGAUUCUGAUAAGCUU
rnacentral:snoRNA from 1 species